rnacentral:rRNA from 1 species
UACGAAGGGGGCUAGCGUUGUUCGGAAUCACUGGGCGUAAAGGGCGCGUAGGCGGCUGUUCAAGUCGGGGGUGAAAGCCUGUGGCUCAACCACAGAAUUGCCUUCGAUACUGGACGGCUCGAGACCGGAAGAGGUCAGUGGAACUGCGAGUGUAGAGGUGAAAUUCGGUAGAUAUUCGCAAGAACACCAGUGGCGAAGGCGGCUGACUGGUCCGGUUCUGGACGCUGAGGCGCGAAAGCGUGGGGAGCAAACAGG